UAGGGAAUCUUCCACAAUGGACGAAAAGUCUGAUGGAGCAACGCCGCGUGAGUGAUGAAGGGUUUCGGCUCGUAAAACUCUGUUGUUGGAGAAGAACAGGUGAUAGAGUAACUGUUAUCAUCUUGACGGUAUCCAACCAGAAAGCCACGGCUAACUACGUGCCAGCAGCCGCGGUAAUACGUAGGUGGCAAGCGUUGUCCGGAUUUAUUGGGCGUAAAGCGAGCGCAGGCGGUUUUUUAGGUCUGAUGUGAAAGCCUUCGGCUUAACCGGAGAAGGGCAUCGGAAACCGGGAGACUUGAGUGCAGAA
rnacentral:rRNA from 1 species